AAGUCGUAAGGUUUCCGUUGAAAACAACCCUGUGAACCUUCAGCGUGUUCUUGCAGGACAUCAAAACAGCAGUCCCGAGUAAAUCAGGCGCGAAAGAAUUACAGAUUUUGAUUUUGGGAAGUUCUGUGUGUACGUGGGCGCUGCAAUAGAGCGCUAGAUAAAGCACCCUGGUAGCCUAGAGCAAUCCCCUGUCUGAAAGCGGCAAGGGAUCAAUGUUCAGGGUGGCGCAGUCAACGAUCGCUGUAGGUCCACACGAGCGACCGGGACUCCGGGACUUGGCGAAAGCUGACUCCGUCAUCAAUCGAACAACUGUUAACAAUGGAUAUCUUGGUUCUC
rnacentral:misc_RNA from 1 species